GAGGUUCGACUCGAGCGCAGCGAGAGAACGUUGCGUCAGCAACGGCCCGCAGGGCGAGCCACGCAGUGGCGAGUCAUCCUCUAUCACCGACCA
rnacentral:sRNA from 5 species